UUGGGGAAGCUGGUGUUACUCAGUAGUGCCUAAUGCCUGUUCCUCUUCUCCCUGGCAGGGCCAUCCCUCCUGCCCCCCGCACAGUUGCUGCAGCUCCAAGCCACAUGCUCCAUCUGUGCCAGGGACACAGUGGUUCUUGCUGCCUGCAGGCAUGUCCCAGCAUUCACAGAACUGUGCUAACUUUGCCCUUCUGCCUUCUGUUCACCACCUUCCAGAUCUGCCCUUUCUGGUUCUCUCCACACUGUUGUCUCCAGGACUUUUCUAGCUCUAGGAUGGUGUCUGGUCCUGGAUGCAGGACAUUCCCACUCUGGACUGUUCUCAGUGGGAGUGGCAAAACUCUCCUGGUACCAAGGUAACACAGAGGAAUGAGUAACAAUUCCAGAUUAUGGCUGCUAUUAAUUUGAGAGACGUGCAUGUUGAAAAAACAAAGAAGGGGGAAUACGGCUCCUCAAGAACAUUUAGUUAAUGCAAUACUUAUACAAGAAUUUCUGAAAGCAGAUCAUCAAUUUUGAUCCCCGACAGAGCGAUACGGCUCUGAAGAUUUGCAGAUACAGAACCUGUGGAGGCCAGAAAUCUGGCCAAGCAAAAGCCUGCUGCACUCCCCUGGAGGACUGACCCCAAAGCCACAACCCCUUUGGUUAUGGUGAACAAAAAGAGCGUCCCCCGCGCUCCUUGGGUUUUUAUGUUGAUUCCUUGUAUCCCAUUGGCCCUUCCCCUUUGCUCCACCCCUGUGCCCUCAUCCCAUUGGCCCUGGUGUUCUGUCCCACCCCUCGAGAUCCCUAUAUAAACCCUUGCUUUCGCUGCUUGACUGGCUCUUUUGUCCUUGGAUUCCUUUGAGGAGGAAGCUCAAUAAAGGGUUCCCUUGGAACACCACACCAUGACCCUGUCUCUCCUUCUGGAUUGACUGGAUUGUAGAAAAGCUGAAAUCACCUGGUGUGAGCACAGACGUGCCUGUGCCCCCAAGGUGUCUUUUUCAAGACGCUUCUUCGGGAAGGUUGCGACACUCUGAACAAUGCUGGCUAUGACAGAACCAGUUUCUAGAAGUUUUACAUAAGGAUCCACCAUGGAUGUGCAAUGGCAAGGCCGAGCUGAUUUACUAACCUAAGGGAGAACGUAGGCAUGUGUUUUUAUUGCCAACAGGUCUAAAGUGGUUACCUGCUUGUCUGGACAAACAUUGAUUGCCUCCAAGGAGAUGAGGCCCAGUGAGAGAAGAAAUGACCUAAUCACAGCCCAGCCCUGGUGCCAGUGCAGGAGCAGGGGCAGGACUGCCAGGACAUGGCCUUGUCUGGAAGCUCACGAAGGCAGCCUGCUUGUGUCGCACUGCACCCUCUGUAUUGUGUUCUUGCUGACCUUCUUCAGUUAUUCCCUGUUCCAUGCUUCCAGAAGGACAAUCAGUAAUGUCAAAGACAGCAUUUCUAUCUAAUGGACUUCCUCCUACCUAAACAGCAUGGCCUCUGAGCUCCAGCCAUAUGAACUUUGGAAGAGGAGCCAUUUCUUUCCAUUUCCUGGGGACAUUGGACACCAUCUUUUUGUUUUCCUCUGCUGUGAGUGUCUUUGUCAGUGGCAUGGUUAUAUUUGAUGGGGUUUUUAUUGAUUGUGAUCUGUGUUCCUUGUAUCUUAUCCUGUGUCCAGCAGAUGACCAGUAAUAGUCUGAAUAAGAUUAUUACAGGUGCAGACUGUUUUGGCAUUAGGGUACAUGAACCCUUCGCACAAAAAACAAAGGGGGAGAUGUUGAUAUUGGCAAAACUUUACAAAAUAAGGGCCUUGUUACCCUUUGAAAAAUAUGGCUCAGGCCUAUUGCUUUGUCUAAGUAGAAAAGGACUAUGGGAAAGUGACUCAGAUGAAUUACAGGUAGAAAAAUAAGUUAUAUAACUACUACAUGUUCACAUUGUGGUUUAUGGUGAUUAGUUGAAUAACAUUUGUUGUGCUUAAAUGGAAUGUAACUGAUAAAGGCCUAACUGCUUGAAAAGUCCUGGUUUUGCAAUUAAGAGUUCUCUCUUGCACCUGCCUGGGGAGUCUGCAUCACUCUGCUUUGUAACUAUGGAUCUGUUAAACUCGUGAACAGGCAGGUCCUGGGGCACAGGGCACAGCCAGGGAACACUUUUAGAAGUUAAGGAACAAGUCUUCAAAGUCCUUCUGGUGUUACCUUGACUGUCCCUUUUCCUGGCCACAGAUACAUAAGAACCUUUCUUCUCCAGAAAAAGCCCUGGGAAAGGAAGAAGUUGAGAAUCAAGGAGCAAACCCAGCCAGUGCCCAGGAAUGCAGGUGCAUUGCUGGACUCUGAGUUUUUUAUAAGUUCUUCCCAAGCCCUACUGCCCAUAAUCAGAUUAUGAAACCUUUGACUCAAAUUAAUGCAAACAAAUGGAUCA